GCCAGGCUGGCUCAGUUGGUAGAGCGUGUGACUCUUGAUCUCGGGGUUGUGGGUUCAAGCCCCACGUUGGGUG
rnacentral:tRNA from 1 species